rnacentral:rRNA from 1 species
AGGGUUUGAUCAUGGCUCAGGACGAACGCUGGCGGCGUGCUUAACACAUGCAAGUCGAACGAUGAAGUGGAGCUUGCUCCACGGAUUAGUGGCGAACGGGUGAGGAACACGUGAGAAACCUGCCUCGGAUUUUGGGAUAACAAAUGGAAACGUUUGCUAAUACCAAAUAACGUCGGAGAGUCACAUGACUUUCUGACGAAAGGAAUUCCGAUUCGAGAGGGUCUCGCGGCCUAUCAGCUUGUUGGCGGGGUAAUGGCCCACCAAGGCAACGACGGGUAGCUGGUCUGAGAGGAUGGUCAGCCACACUGGGACUGAGACACGGCCCAGACUCCUACGGGAGGCAGCAGUGGGGAAUCUUGCGCAAUGGGCGAAAGCCUGACGCAGCAACGCCGCGUGCGGGAAGAAGGCUUUCGGGCUGUAAACCGCUUUCAGCAGGAACGAAAAUGACGGUACCUGCAGAAGAAGGAGCGGCCAACUAUGUGCCAGCAGCCGCGGUGAUACAUAGGCUUCAAGCGUUGUCCGGAUUUAUUGGGCGUAAAGAGUUCGUAGGCGGUCGAGUAAGUCGGGUGUGAAAAUUCUGGGCUCAACCCAGAGACGCCACCCGAUACUGCUUAACUUGAGUUCGAUAGGGGAGUGGGGAAUUCCUAGUGUAGCGGUGAAAUGCGCAGAUAUUAGGAGGAACACCGGUGGCGAAGGCGCCACUCUGGAUCGACACUGACGCUGAGGAACGAAAGCAUGGGUAGCAAACAGGAUUAGAUACCCUGGUAGUCCAUGCGGUAAACGGUGGGCACUAGGUGUGGGUUUCUAUUAACGAAAUCCGCGCCGUCGCUAACGCAUUAAGUGCCCCGCCUGGGGAGUACGGUCGCAAGACUAAAACUCAAAGGAAUUGACGGGGACCCGCACAAGCGGUGGAUGAUGUGGUUUAAUUCGAUGCAACGCGAAAAACCUUACCCACCUUUGACAUGUACGGAAAGAUCCAGAGAUGGAUUUGUGCUCGAAAGAGAGCCGUAACACAGGUGCUGCAUGGCUGUCGUCAGCUCGUGUCGUGAGAUGUUGGGUUAAGUCCCGCAACGAGCGCAACCCUUGUCAUUAGUUGCUACGAAAGGGCACUCUAAUGAGACUGCCGGUGACAAACCGGAGGAAGGUGGGGAUGACGUCAAGUCCUCAUGGCCCUUAUAGGUGGGGCUACACACGUCAUACAAUGGCUGGUACAGAGGGUUGCCAACCCGCGAGGGGGAGCUAAUCCCAUAAAGCCAGUCGUAGUCCGGAUCGCAGUCUGCAACUCGACUGCGUGAAGUCGGAAUCGCUAGUAAUCGUGGAUCAGCAUGUCGCGGUGAAUACGUUCCCGGGUCUUGUACACACCGCCCGUCACACCAUGGGAGCGGGUUCUGCCAGAAGUAGUUAGCCUAACCGCAAGGAGGGCGAUUACCACGGCAGGGUUCGUGACUGGGGUGAAGUCAUAACAAGGUAGCCG